rnacentral:snRNA from 1 species
AUCGCUUCUUGGCCUUUUGGCUAAGAACAAAUGUAGUAUCUGUUCUUAUCAGUUUAAUAUCUUCACUGAUUUUUACUUCAGGAAUUAAAAGCUAUCUAAUCUUUAUUCCAAAGUAAGAUAAGACAUUGAUCUUUUACUGCAGUCAGUAUGUCACCUCCU